UUUGUUCACGUGCGAGUUUUUUUCAUUUUCAUUUUUCGAAUUUUGGAAUCACGGCAUUUCAACAAUGGAAUUCUUUCGCUGGUCAAACAAGACCUAUAACUUAAUCUAAAAUAAAUUAUUACAUUGAAAUCAUUGAGUGUGACACGCAUUUAAAUGUUCCAGUAAAACAAUACAAAAGUUCAUACUUUUAUUUUGAUUUAUUAGGAUACGUGCGUUGCACGUGCGCGUUUACUAGUAGGUUAGAAGGUUAACAGGACAGCACUAGUUGGCGGGGUGGUUAGAACAGCCAACAGUUGAGGGGGGGUCGCAGGUUUGAAUUGUUAACCACGCUGUCAUUUUGUCCUUUUUAGCAGAAAAGGGAGUAGAGCUAACUGGGCCGAGCCCAACCAGCCACGCCUGCAGGCGCCCGUUUGCGAACGGGCGCUUAAGCGCCAAAUAGGAAAUACCCCAUUGCUGCUCUUUGCGUCAAACUGCCGGCGCUUCGCACACGCGAGCGACCGAGCAGCGACACGUUGGGCCGGCCCAGUUAGGUAGACCUGCACGUACAACCACAUUAAACAGCCAGCCGGUUUUGGAACCGGUUUGUGGGUUCUUUUCCGGUUUUCUGUUUCUUUUUAUUUCUGUUUCAGUUUCAUUUCUUUUUUCGUUCUGUUUUUUUUCUUCUUUUUCGUUUUUUUUUCAAGGUUACUUUAUAUUUUAAAAAAUCAUGUUUGGAAAUUGUUCUUAACUUUGAAAAAUGUGAACAAUUUUUGAAUUUACGAACAUUUUUUGGAAGACAACCAUUUGUGGAAAUUUUGAACGCUUUUCAAAAGAAAGAACAAUUUUCAAAAAUUGUUCGUAUAUUCAAAAAAUAUUCACAUUUUCAAAAAUUGUUUGGGAAUUUCAGAAAAUGUUAUUUCUUCGUAUUUUGUUCACACAUUCAAAAAUAGUUCGUGCUUACAAAUUUUGUUCUAAAAAUUCAAAAUAUAUAUGUCAUUUUCAAAAAGUGUUCCUGUUUUCAAAUUUUCUUUUCAAAAAUUGUUCAUGUUUUGAAAAUUUAUUCGCAAAUUCAAAAAAUAUAUUUUAUUUUUGUCCACAAAUUCAAAAUUGUUCAUGUUUUCAAUUUUUUUUGCAAAUUCAAGAAAAUUGAUUAAGAUUUUCUGAAUUGUUCUCCAUUUUUUAAUUUGUUCUAAAAAUCAAAAUAUGUUCAUGAUUUGAAAAUUUUGUUCACAAAUUCGGAAAGUGUUCAUGUUUACAUAAAAGUUCGAAAAUUCAUGUUUUUUAAUUUUGUUCAAAACCCAAUAUUUUAUUUCAAAAAAAGUUCCAAUUUCCAAAAAAAUAUCACAGAUUCAAAAAAUGUUCAUGUGAUUAAAUUUAGUUCACAAAUUGGAAUAUGUUCGGGAAUUUAAAAAAAUAUUCCUGUCCACAAAUUAAAAAAUAUUUUCCUUUCCAAAAUUUGUUGACAUAUUUACAAAAUAUUUCAUGUUUCUAAAUUUGAUUAACAAAUUGAAAAAAAUGUUCUUAGUUAUAUUUUUUGUUCGGAAUUUCAUGAAUUGUUCCAUUUUUCCAGAUGUAUGUUCAAAAAUUCAAAAAAGGUUUGCGGUUUCAAUUUUUUUUCUUCAGAAUUUCAUAGUUUGUUAUGUAUUUGAAAAAAUAUUCCUGUUGUUGAAAAUGUGUUCAGAAAAUGCUUGCACAUUUUCAACAUAUACACUUUCAAGAAGUACACUUUUUUCAAAUCACCUUCACAAUUUUUGUUCUUGUUUUCCGAAAUGUUCACCAAAUUUUCGAAAUCUGUUUGAUAAUCGAAAUUUUGUUGACAUUUCCUCAAAAUUUCUUUUUGUGUUUUCCAAAAUAUGUUCAAUUUUUAAAAAAUCUAUAUGCUACACUACGCGUACAGAAAAUAACAUUCAAGGGGGAAUAACUGUUUUCAGAAAAUGUGAGUUUCCUAAAAAGAAUUCACGGAUUUGAAAAGUAGUUGAGUUUAUAAAACUAUUCCCGUUCUAAAAAAGUGUUUGAGUUCGAAAUUUAAAAUAUUUCGGAUUUGCCGGUAGCUGUUUGUUCUUAUAAGUUGGCGCUGGUAUAUCAACCAGAAACCACUUCAGCUCACUUGGCUAGCAACACUAGCAUAUGUGUAGGAGAUCCUGUGUUCGAAUGCAGCACUUUUUGCCUAUUUUAGUAGGCUACCAGUAGUCUGCUCGCGACACCACCAAUGGGCCAGCCCAGUCGCGUGUGCCCUUAUGCGUCGCGGAAGUGUUUGACACAAAACGCGUCGAAAUAAAAAAUAUGAAAUAAAAACAGGUUUACAACUGUAAACAAAAGUUCAUCCAUUUGAAAAAAAGUACUCCCUCCGUCCCAAAAUUCUUGUCUUAUAUUUAUCUAGAUACGGAUGUAUCUAACACUAAAAUGUGAAUAGAUACAUCCGUAUGUAGACAAAUCUAAGACAAGAAUUUUGGGACGGAGGGAGUACAUCUCUUUAAAGAAGGUUCAUAGAUUUUUGAAAAAAGUAUAUCAAUUUUGAAAAAAAUUUAAUCUGAUUUCAAAAAAAGUUCAUUGAUUCUGAAAAAUGUUCGUCUAUUUUGAAAAAAGUUCAUCGAAAUCAAUAAUAGUUCAUCGCAAAUAAAAAAAGAGUUCAUCCAUUUUGAAAAAAGUUCAUCAAAAUCAAAAAAGUUCAUCGAAAAUGAAAUAAAAAGUUCAUCGAAAUUCAUAAAAAGUUCAUCAAUGAAAAAAAGUUCACGUAUUUGCGGUCAAGGAAAAAGAGGAAAACGAAAAAAACAGAAACCAAAAAAGGAAAAAAAGGAAAAAGGAAAAAGGAAAAAGAAAAAACGACAAAUAUCAAUUAAAAGAAGAAUAGGUUAGAAGGUUAACAGGACAGCACUAGUUGGCGGGGUGGUUAGAACAGCCAACAAUCGAGGGGUGGUCGCAGGUUCGAAUUGUUAACCACGCUGUCAUUUUGUCCUUUUUAGCAGAAAAGGGAGUAGAGCUAACAGGGCCGAGCCCAACCAGCCACGCCUGCAGGCGCCCGUUUGCGAACGGGCGCUUAAGCGCCAAAUAGGAAAUGCCCCAUUGCCGCUCUUUGCGUCAAACUGCCGGCUCUUCGCACACGCGAGCCACCGAGCAGCAACACGAUGGGCCGGCCCAGUUAGGUAGACCUGCACGUACAACCACAUUAACCAGCCAGCCGGUUUCGGGAACCUUCUAGAAGGUUCCCUGAACCGGUUUGUGGGUUCUUUUCCGGUUUUCGGUUUCUUUUUAUUUCUGUUUCAGAUUCAUUUCUUUUUUUCGUUCUGUUUUUUUUUCUUUUUUCGUUUUUCUUUUUCAAGGUUAAUUUAUAUUUUAAAAAAAAUCAUGUUUGGAAAUUGUUCUUAACUUUGAAAAAUGUGAAGAAUUUCUGAAUUUACGAACAUUUUUUGGAAGACAACCAAUUGUGGAAAUUUUGAACGUUUUUCAAAAUAAAGAACAAUUUGCAAAAAUUGUUCGUAUAUUCAAAAAAUAUUCAUAUUUUCAAAACAUGUUUGGGAAUUUCAGAAAAGGUUAUUUUUUCGUAUUUUGAUCACACAUUCAAAAAUUGUUCAUGUUUCCAAAUUUUGUUCUAAAAAAUCAAAAUAUAUAUGUCAUUUUCAAAAAGUGUUCUUGUUUUGAAAUUUUCUUUUCAAAAAUUGUUCAUGUUUUGAAUUUGUUUUCGCAAAUUCAAAAAAAUUUAUUUUAUUUUUGUUCACAAAUUCAAAAUUGUUCAUGUUUUCAAUUUUUUUUGCAAAUUCAAGAAAAUUGAUUAAGAUUUUCUGAAUUGUUCUCCAUUUUUAAAUUUGUUCUAAAAAUCAAAAUAUGUUCAUGAUUUGAAAAUUUUGUUCACAAAUUCGCAAAGUGUUCAUGUUUACAUAAAAGUUCGAAAAUUCAUGUUUUUUAAUUUUGUUCAAAACCCAAUAUUUUAUUUCAAAAAAGUUCCAAUUUCCAAAAAAAAUUCACAGAUUCAAAAAAUGUUCAUGUGAUUAAAUUUUUUUCACAAAUUGUUAUAUGUUUGGGAAUUUCAAAAAAUAUUACUGUCCACAAAUUAAAAAGUAUUUUCCUUUCCAAAAUUUGUUGACAUAUUAACAAAAUAUUUCAUGUUUCUAAAUUUGAUUUACAAAUUGAAAAAAUGUUCUUAGUUAUAUUUUUUAUUCGGAAUUUCAUGAAUUGUUCCAUUUUUCCAGAUAUUUGUUCAAAAAUUCAAAAAAGGUUUGCGGUUUCAAUUUUUUUCUUCAGAAUUUCAUAGUUUGUUAUGUAUUUGAAAAAAUAUUCCUGUUGUUGAAAAUGUGUUCAGAAAAUGCUUGCACAUUUUCAACAUAGACACUUUCAAGAAGUACACUUUUUUCAAAUCACCUUCACAAAAUUUGUUCUUGUUUUCCAAAAUGUUCACCAAAUUUUCGAAAUCUGUUUGAUAAUCAAAAUUUUGUUCACAUUUCCUCAAAAUUUCUUUUUGUGUUUUCCAAAAUACAUUCAAUUUUUAAAAAAUCUAUAUGCUACACUACACGUACAGAAAAUAACAUUCAAGGGGGAAUAACUGUUUUCAAAAAAUGUGAGUUUCCUAAAAAGAAUUCACGGAUUUGAAAAGUAGUUGAGUUUAUAAAACUAUUCCCGUUCUAAAAAAGUGUUUGAGUUCGAAAUUUAAAAUAUUUCGGAUUUGGUAGUUGUUUGUUCUUAUAAGUUGGCGCUGGUAUAUCAACCAGAAACCACGCCAGCUCACUUGGCUAGCAACACUAGCAUAUGUGUAGGAGAUCCUGUGUUCGAAUCCAGCACUUUUGCCUAUUUUAGUAGGCUACCAGUAGUCUGCUCGCGACACCACCAAUGGGCCAGCCGAGUCGCGCGUGCCCUUAUGCGUCGCGGAACUGUUUGACGCAAAACACGUCGAAUAGGAGGUCCCCCAUAGGAGCUCCCGGGAAAAUCCUACUCACCGCUCGUUGCAGGCUUGCAGCAAGGUGCUACGUCAGGACCCUGACUCAAUGCCACAUCGAUCUAGCAUGUAACACCUCAUAUCACUUUGCGGCCUCACACACGGUAUUCCCACGGGUGUCGCCUUACCUUUGCCCGGGACCGUUUGCGCCUUUUGGCACACGUAUAUGAUAGUGUCGCUAGCAUCCAUAUGAUAAGGAGCCUGGGCUGACAUGGCUAGUCGUAAACCCAAAGUGGCACAGACUUACAGGGACAGGCAUCCAUGACCCAGCAUCGAACGUGUCGGUCAUCAGCGAGUGAAUCCAGGCUGUAGCACUGGGCUAGCAGGACUCCGGUGAACUGGGCUGUAGCGGGCUAACAGGACUCCGGUAUUCAUCGCGUGACAUUUUCCCGACGGGACAGACACAGGAACGAAGAAGGACACAUGCCGGCCAGCCUAAGUGUUUCGGAGCAGUAGCAAGCUACCAUGGCUCAGUGGAAGCACUAGGAGACAUUUCCCGGUAAGAAAGGCUACUAAGGAUAAACAACUAGAUAGUCAGAUCCCACACAUACCAAGCAUUUCAAACAUACACACAAUAUGCUCGAUAUGUGUAAAUACAACAUGGCAUCACAACAUAACUCUACGACUCAAGUAUUUAUUCAAUAGGCUCCGAGUAGCGCGAUAUUACAAGCAUGGGUCUCAUGACCCAACAUUCAGAGCAUACAGAUCAAGCACAUGCGGAAGCUUAUCAUGUCUGAGUACAGACAUCUACAAAUGAAAAAUGCUGAAAAGCCUGACUAUCUACCAGAUCCUGCCGAGGGCACAAGAUCGUAGCUGAGGUAACAAGCUAAACGUCGAAGUCCACGCGGAACUACUAACGAGACUGACGUCUCUCUGCAAAAACAUAAAAUAGGCAAAUGUGAGUACAAAUGUACCCAGCAAGACUUACAUCAGAUCUAGGUACAUAUGCAUCAUUAUCAACAAAGGGGAUGGUGGGGUUUAACUGCAGCAAGCCAGCUUUGACUCGGUGGCUAUCCUGAACUACGACUGCAAGUAACUCUUUUGAGGUGGCGCACACGAGUCCACAUAUUCACCAUAUCAAUACACCACCAUGGAUCCGCUCCCGUCUCCCUACGAGAACGCCAUCCAUAGCACUCACGCUUAUCUUGCGUAUUUUAGAGUAUCCACUUUCACUUGUCUAUGAACUGUUAUAGGCAACCCAGAAGUCCUUUACCGCGGACACGGCUAUUUGAAUAGAUGAUGUUAACCCUGCAGGGGUGUACUUCUUCAUACAUGUUUCCACCACUUAGCGUCUGCACACGACAUGUGCUCGGCAGACUUCAAGCGAAAGCCGACGUGGGUGUAGACCACGACCUACCUAAACACUCAAGUCUCUAGUCCAGGUUUAUCGCCUAUUCAGGUUCCAUCCGCAGGGAGUCCGGCCGAGGUUUCCACAUACGGCCCCGAACGAUGUGAACAGGGUUCCGAGACACCUAACGGGUGCCCGGUGUACCCGGCCACGUACCUACCACAUCACAGCCCACCCCACGGUCAGCGCUGUCCACGGCCUCCAGUAGGCUACAAACACCAGAAACUACUUGCAACUCCUGGACAGAGGACUAGAGUGAAUAAGAAGUCGAGCGGGGUCAUAUUUCAGGGCCCAAUGUAUGGUAGUAGCUGAAUCAUGGAUCACAAACACAGAACUCAGUUCCUAAGGACGGCUUCAAUGAGACAACCCACCAUGUACUCCUACAUGGCCUCUCACCGAUACCUUUACCAAAUCGUGUUCACACACUUAGCUCACACACAGUAGGACAUGUUCACACACCUCUGAUUCAUCCCCGAUGAAUUAGAACUGACUCAGCUCUAAGCAAUAGCAGGCAUGACAAACAAGCAUGAAUGAGUAGGCACAUCAGGGCUCAAGCAACUCCUACUCAUGCUAGUGGGUUUCAUCUAUUUACUGUGGCAAUGACAGGUCAUGCAGAGGAUAAAGGGGUUCAACUACCGCAGCAAGUAACAGAUGAAUCGUUGUUGUCCUAAUGCAGUAAAAGAGAGCAGGAGCGAGAGAGUGGGAUUGUAUCGAAAUGAACAAGGGGUUUUUGCUUGCCUGGCACUUCUGAAGAUAAUAUAGUUCUUCAUCGGUGUCAUCGAACUCGUCGUCGGAACCACGUCUAUCGAGAGGGGACAAACACCGGCAACUGAGAAAGAACACAAUCAAUGCAAUGCCACAAUAUGAUGCAUGAUCAUGACAUGGCAAUAUGCUGUGAUUUGAGCUAAUGCACCUAGCUAUGAUUUAAAUGAAGUUGGUUUGAAUACAUGAUUCAAAUUCCAACUCCAUAUAUGAUUAUUUAAAUGCCCUUUAUUUGUUUUGUCCAAAACAGAGGACAAACAUUGUUCAAACAUGCAUGAAAAUGGUACAGAUGGAUUCCUUGAAUUUUUUUGAUAAUUUUUCAUAUAUAAUUUAUUUGAUUUGGAGUCACGGUUGAAUUUCUAUGAAUUUUAGAAGUUUAGAUCAUUUUCUGAAAGUUAUAAAUCAUUUCUGAUUUAUUUUAAUACCAGAAAAUGUUUACUGCGUCAGCAUUAGGUCAUCCUGACCUCAGCAGGUCAACAGCGCCGGGUCCAGGUCAAACCUGACGUGUGGGGUCCACACAUCAGUGACUAACUAAUCUAAUCUAAAUUAAUUAGUGUUAAACUACUACUAACUAAAAAUGUCAGUGGAGUAAUUAAACUUAAUUAAAAACUAAUCUAGGAUUAGCUGGGGCCUGGGCCCACUCGUCAGUGACUCAGGGGGAAGUCAAACUGGGGUCAAACCGGGUCAAACUCGCCGGAGUUGACCCGGGGCUCGUCGCCGGCAGGGCCAGGGACGGCGGAGAGGUGCGGGUUUCCUCCUCCGGCGACCAAAUCGACGAUGGAGGGAGGCUACAUGGAGCUGGAGCUCGCGUGCGUCGGGUGGUGGCGGUGGGAGAUGCUGGGGUGGCCGGAAACGUUGCCGGCGACGACCUUGGCGGUCGCCGGAGUUCGGGCGAGGUCGAAGCCGUCGCUAUGAGGCACGGCGAGGCGCGUGGGGAGGUGCUACGGGCUUCUGCGAGUACGGUGAAGACGAUGGCAUGCUCGGAAUCAAGCCAACAUGGCUGUGGCCACGACGGUGACGUGCGGUGGCGGCGGCGGGUGCGGCCGAGCUCGGUGUGGUCGUUGUGGUGCACAAGAAGGCAAACGGAGAGGGGGAGAAGGGGCAGGAGCUCACAGUGGAUCCGUAGGGAUGGUUAGCGGGCUCGGGGAUGCUCGGGAGACGGCGAAUCGACGACGACGAUCUUCGGUGGCCGACGAGGGAAACGGCGGCAUUGGCGGUGUUGCGGCGCGUCCGGGGCCUCGUGGCUCGCCGAGGGGGUCGAGGACGUCGAGACGGAGCUUCUGGGCGCGUCGGUGAGGCGUGCGGUGGCCGGUGGCCGUGGCAGCAGCGAGCGGCGGCGAUGAGCGCGCUCGGGCGCGAGAGGGUGAGAGAGCAGAGAGGGGAGAGGCAUGGGAGAGAGUGAGAGGGGACCGAGGGUGAUGCGUGGCGUCACCAGGGACGGCCAGGGUGUCGAGGGGGGAGGGGCGGCAAGCAGGAGGUGGCCGGGGCGUGUGGGCGCGCGCGUCGGCCACACGCGCGUCCUCCUGGCAGAGGAGGAAGAUGACAGGGAAGGAGGCGGUGGUGGGCUGGGCCAGUUGGCUGGGCUGCCAGCUGGGCCGGCCAGGUGGGCUGCAUAGAAGGUAGGUCCAGGUAAGUCUCUCUCUCUCUCUCUUUCUCUCUCUCUCUCUCUUUUAUUUAUUGUUUUUGUUUUUUCUAUUAUUCUGUAGUCUUCAGGGCUUUAUUUAAAAUACUUAAACAGAUCCAAAAAUCAUGAAACUAAUCAUGGCUACUGUUUAGAAUAUAUCCAACAGUAAACAUUUUAGUUUAUGAUUAUUUGAGCAUUUAAAAUAUUAAUGCCCAAAUGAAAAUACCAUAUGAUUUAAUUCAGAGCCCAAAUAUGUCAUGGAAAAAUGUGCAACACCUCUGGUUACUGUUUCCAGCAUUUCCAGAAAUGAUGAACAUUUUUGAAAGCCAUUUGGAUUCACUGAAAUUAUUUUAGUUGAACAUAGUGAAUUCCUUUGAUGUUAGGGUUUAGGCAAUCCCUGUUUCAAGUUUCAAACGAAUUUAAACAUGAUGCAACACAUGACUAGCUAGCUCAGUGCAUACCAGAACUAGGGAUGUGACAGCUCACCCCCACUAAACAAGAAUCUCGUCCCGAGAUUCAAGUCGUGAGGUAAGAAGACAGAGGGGGCACAAGCUAACACGGUCUUCACGGUCCAGGUUGCACUUCAUAAGAACGUUGACACGAUCACCAUCUUUGUCUUGAUGUCUUGCUCUGAGAACUCCAACUAACAUGACAAUGAGAGGAAAAGGGAAAACUCCAGAAGGAUCGAUCUUCUCGAAGAUCGAACAACUCAGGAUCACUCAUCAAGUGAGACAUUGAAACAUCUCUCGAGCUGAGACACGAAACACAUCGAGAGGGAUGGAAGAACAAGCGACGGGGUUUGAUUUGGUGGGCAACAAUUCCACGCUUAGAAAGAUGGUGGACGGUGUCAAGGUGGCGAGGAAAUAAUUGCCAUGAUCCCGUAACGGGGCACUUUGGAAAAGGUGACUCGAAGAACUAUUCCCUUAAGUGGCAAAAAGAAUUACUUUUGAUUCAGAGAUCAUUGAAACUCUUUAUACCAGCCUAAGGCAAUUGAUAAAUGAUCGUUUGAAAGAUCUCGAAGAAAUGGCAUACUCGGACUAGGAUGGAUGAUGUGGACUACCUUGUUGAAGACAACGCAAUGGAUGACUUUUGCUUAUCACCGGAAAUGAAUGGGACCCAUGACAAGACCACUUUUGAAGAUGAUCCUGGACAGCAACUGCCGAGAAGGACAACCCAUGGAAAAUUGGCCCGAUGGGGUGCAAGCUGGAAACAACAUGCACAUGUUGGAAAUGUUCCAACCAUCAUAUCUGCCUGAGAUUCAGAUCUGGUUAGAAACAGGAUAUUUCAGACAACAUGUUUGGAAAAGAAAGUUUUCAACACAAACCGACGAGAUGGAGUUGCGGGAUUCUCGGGGAAUGAACUAAGAUAGCAAGCUCCAAAACAUGAGCUGGUUCUGCUACAUACAUGUGAACACAUUGUCCCAGACAAGCAUAACCACGUAGUAGUCUUAUAUAAAACACUACCCAGUUCAGGUGGGGCACCAUCAACGAAGAUAACGAAGUCUUGUGCAUGAACUAGUAUUCGCAUAACAACUCUUUUUCCUUGAACAAAUCAAUAAGUGGCUUGGGGUGCUAGUGUGACGCCCCCGAUUCAAUCGUACACUAAUCAUGCACACAAACGUGUACGAUCAAGAUCAGGGACUCACGGGAUGAUAUCACAACACAACUCUAAAAACAUAAAUAAGUCAUACAAGCAUCAUAAUACAAGCCAGGGGCCUCGAGGGCUCGAAUACAAGUGCUCGAUCAUAGAUGAGUCAGCGGAAGCAACAAUAUCUGAGUACAGACAUAAGUUAAACAAGUUUGCCUUAAGAAGGCUAGCACAAACUGGGAUACAGAUCGAAAGAGGCGCAUGCCUCCUGCCUGGGAUCCUCCUAAACUACUCCUGGUCGUCGUCAGCGGGCUGCACGUAGUAGUAGGCUCCUCCAGCGUAGUAGGAGUCGUCGUCGAUGGUGGCGUCUGGCUCCUGGGCUCCAACAUCUGGUUGCGACAACCAGGUAGAAGGGAAGGGGGGAAAGGGGGAGAAAAUCAACCGUGAGUACUCAUCCAAAGUACUCGCAAGCAAGGAGCUACACUACAUAUGCAUGGUUAUAUGUGUAAAGGGCCAUAUCAGUGGACUAAACUGCAGAAUGCCAGAAUAAGAGGGGGAUAACUAAUCCUAUCGAAGACUACGCUUCUGGCAGCCUCCGUCUUGCAACAUGUAGAAGAGAGUAGACUGAAGUCCUCCAAGUAGCAUCGCAUAGCAUAAUCCUACCCGGCGAUCCUCUCCUCGUUGCCCUGUUAGAGAGCGAUCACCGGGUUGUACCUGGCACUUGGAAGGGUGCGUUUUAUUAAGUAUCCGGUUCUAGUUGUCAUAAGGUCAAGGUACAACUCCAAGUCGUCCUGUCACCGAAGAUCACGACUAUUCGAAUAGAUUAACUUCCCUGCAGGGGUGCACCACAUAACCCAACACGCUCGAUCCCAUUUGGCCGGACACAAUUUCCUGGGUCAUGCCCGGCCUCGGAAGAUCAACACGUCGCAGCCCCACCUAGGCACAACAGAGAGGUCAGCACGCCGGUCUAAAUCCUACGCGCGCAGGGGUCUGGGCCCACCGCCCAUUGCACACCUGCAUGUUGCGUACGCGGCCGGAAGCAGAACUAGCCCCCUUAAUACAAGAGCAGGCUUACGUUCCAAUCCGGCGCGCGCCACUCAGUCGCUGACGUCACGAAGUGCUUCAGUUGAUACCACGACGUCGAGUGCCCAUAACUGUUCCCACGUAGUUGGUUAGUGCGUAUAGGCCAGUAGCCAGACUCAGAUCAAAUACCAAGAUCUCGUUAAGCGUGUUAAGUAUCCGCGAACGCCGAACAGGGCCAGGCCCACCUGUCUCCUAGGUGGUCCCAACCUGCCCUGUCGCUCCACCACAAAGUAACAGUCGGGGGCCGUCGGGAACCUAGGCCCACCUCUACCGGGAUGGAGACACCUGUCCUUUCAGCCCCCACAUCGGAAUCACUUGCGGGUACUCAACGGGCUGACCCGACUUUAGUCACCAUUUGUAUAGUAUGUAUGUAUGUAAUAUAUAUACCCGUGAUCACCUCCCGAGUGAUCACGGCCCAAUAGUAUAGCAAGGCAGACUGACAAGAAUGUAGGGCCAAUGAUGAUAAACUAGCAUCCUAUACUAAGCAUUUUGGACUGCGGGUAAGGUAUCAAUGAUUGUAGCAACAAUGACAGGCUAUGCAACAGAAUAGGAGUAAUUAAACAGUAACAUGCUACACUACUCUAAUGCAAGCAGUAUAGAGAAGAAUAGGCGAUAUCUGGUGAUCAAAGGGGGGGGGGCUUGCCUGGUUGCUCUGGCAAGUAGGGGUCGUCAACUCUGUAGUCGAACUGGGGUCACCGGCAGUCUCGGGGUCUACCAGAAAGAAGUAACGAAGGGGGAACACAGUAAAUAACAGAGCAAACAAAGCAUCACAAAGCGUAACAAGGCAAUACGCGGUAUUUGGUGUGCCCUAACGCGGUAGUAGGUGAUACCGGCGAAAGGGGGAAACAUCCGGGAAAGUAUUCCCGAUGUUUCGCGUUUUCGGACAGAUGAACCGGAGGGAGAAAGUUGCAUGUUUGCUAUGCUAGGAAUGCGUGGCAGACGAACGGGCUGCGUAUCCGGAUUCAUCUCGUCGUUCUGAGCAACUUUCAUGUACAAAGUUUUUCCCUCCGAGCUACGGUUUAUUUUAUAUUAAUUUUAAAAGAUUUAAUCAUUUUUAGAAUUCAUUUAAUUAUUUUAAAUCAACAUUAUCUAGAAUAGUGCAUGCUGACAUCAGCAUGACGUCAGCAAUCAACAGGUCAGUUGACUUAGUCAAACCGACGUGUGGGGUCCGCAUGUCAUAGGCUGAUUAACUAACUAAUAAAUUAUUAAGAUUAGUUAGCUAAUUAGAUUAUCUAACACUGGUUAAUUAAGUUAAUUAAUUAAUCCUUUUAAUCCUUUUUUAUUUUUGUUUUGGGGCUAGGCCCGUUCGGUCAGUGGCCUAGGGCCAUUGCGGGCGUGUGGGCGCCAGCAGUGCGGUUACGGGCGCACUCGUGCGGGGCCGAGCCCGACCGGGAAGGCGAGGCAAGGCCACCAGGGAGUGGCGGCGUUUGGCCGGCGUGGGCGACAGCCAGCGGGAGCGAUGACCAGCGGGGGUGGACCCGGCGGCGGCGAGGUGGGGGCUGCAGGAGCGGGGCGGCACCAAGCGCGGUCAGCGGCAGAGAGGCGGAGGGAGUCGGGACACGGACGACGUCAAGCGGCUCAGGUGCGCCGCGGCCGGAGCGGGCGUGUGGAUGCGGACCGCGGCGAGCAGCCAGCGUGGGGAGGCGAAGCACGGCAUGGUGCAUCGAGAAGCAGCCGGCAGUAGCAGUGAGCAGCGGCAGCCUUCAAGCAGACAAGGCGGGCGCGGGCGACUCAUGGGCGUGUGCGGCUGCGGGGAGCCACGGCCAGGGAGGGUGCACGGGGGGUGUAGGGGAGCGCCCAGGCGACGACGGCCAUGGGCGUGGGCAGAGGGCGACGGCGGCUUCGGUCACGGCGACGACGAUAGCUACUGAGCGGAACGAGGGUGCUCGAGCUCGAUCCGAGCUCGGGAAUAAUCGGGGAAGUGGCGUAGCUCACAUUGAGCCUGUAGAUGUGCUUAGUGGGCUCGGGGAAGGCUCGGAGGUGCCGGAAUCGACGACGAAGCUCUACGGGGACAAGGAGGAAGAAGGCGGUGCGGGGCUCGACGCGGUGGCUCCCGGCGGGGAGGUGGCGUCCGCGAGGUGGUGGCGGGACGAGGCGGCGACGUCGGGGGCUGGCGCGGCGGCGAUGGCGGGGUCGGGCCCCCGAGUGCCCCGAUCCAGACUCAGGAGGGGGAAGGAGAGAGACGUGGGGUCGUGGGGGAGAAGUGGGUGCGGUUAGGGUUUGGUGGUGGGCAGGGGAGGCCAUAUAGGCCUGCUUAGCUGGGCCGGCUAGCACAACGGUCUGCUGGGCCGUGGCCCAGUUGGGCCAAGGGGGGGAUUGCUUCUCUUUCUACUUUUCUUUGUUUUUUUUUCUCUUAGUUUGUUUUUCUGUUUUCAUUUUAGUUUCUGAUAUUUUUAGUUUCUUUAAAAUACUAAGUUAGCACCUAAACUAGUAACAUCAAAAUAGGACAGUGCCAAACCUAGUUUGGACCCAAAAUAAAUUAGUUUAAUAUUUCUAUAUUUUCAAAAGCAAUUAAAUUAUUAUGUUAGCCAUUGGUUUUAAUUAGUUUUAGGGCAUUUAAACACUUUGAAAAAGGUUGGUUCCACCACCAAAACUAGUUAGGGAUUAUUUGCCACAUGAUGAACAUUUUAGUUUUAAUAUUUGAAAACUUUUAUUGUUUGCUUGAUUCUGAAUUUGAAUUAGAAUCGGUUUUAAACUAACGCAAGUUUAUCAACAGUGAUCAUGGUGACGUGGCAUCAUUAGUAGAGAGUUACUGUAGCUUAAUUAUCCGGGCGUCACAAUUCUCCUCCACUACAAGAAAUCUCGUCCCGAGAUUUAGGAGCGGGAGUAAGGGGGAAGGGAUCUGGUUACGAAAUGCUAACGGGUCUCCUCAGUCUUGGUUGCUCUUCUCGAAGAGGUUGAUCCAUAGUGUUGAUGUCUUCAUUUCUCUGCAUCAAUCCAUCAUGAUGAAGUUGCCGUCCUUCCUUCAGGAUCUUCACCGGACUUACGAAAAGAUAAGAGGGGGAAAACUCUAUAAGGACGGGUUCUAACAUAAUUGAGCAUUGAACGGUUAACUCAGGGGAAGAAGCAUAUGUAUCUCCCGAAUUGAAACUUAAGAAGUUAUCGAGAGCAAAGUAAGAAGGUACCAUGAGAAGUUUCAAACGGAUAGGCAAUCGUUCGAUGUCUGCAACAACAUGUGAAAAGGGUCCAGAGCAACGAGAUUGAGUAUUGCGUCUGUUACCAGAAUCGAUCACUAGGAUGGUGGCCCGUGAAUUACAUACGAGGCCACGCGCGAGGAAUAACUUUAGGAACCGGGGGUGUACAGGAGAGUCAGGUUUCGAUCCUGUGGAACUGUGGGUUAUGGGCCCACCACAUGGGUUAAAAGUAGAAAGGGUGCUGACAUCUUGCACGGUCAUGAUAGUAAGGUAUGUUAGAGGGUAGCCUGCCAUUUAUGUUGGCAACAAUGUCGGUACCAAGGGCGAGGGACGAAGAGAACCAUUUUCCUGCUCGUUGAACGAGGCGGACCAAUAGGCAAAGUUCUCAUCCAUCGGUGGUUACCGGAAUGUCAUCAACAAUAGUAACCGGGUCUUACUGACAGAAUUGUACACUGAGGUGUUUACAUAAGCAAGAGAAUAUUACUGCUUAUCUAAUAUACAUCACAAGAAGGUUUAAACAAACCAAUGGAAAGGAAAAGUGUUUAUCAGGUUUAAACAGAACAAUGGAAGGGAAAAUGUGUAUACACACAUAUUUCGGGGGUAUAUCCUUCCCAAGGACAAGCGGAGCAUGAUAUCCAUGAUAGGAUAGAAACUAGAAAACCAUUUAGGUAAGGGGGGAGGAAUCUCAUGAUAUUACCCAUACAACGGUGUUAGGAUAAAUGAUAAAGGAAAUUUAGCAUUGUGCUUCAAAUGCUCUUAUUGAAAAUCUGAUUACCAUAGACAUGCUUCGAGAUAGCAUUGACAUGGUCUUCAAGCAAAGGUUAGACUUUGGAUAAAGGAAGGAUCCAUCAGGAACAACUUGUAGAACAAGUCUUACAAUUUCCUCAUGGAAGAAUGGAUAACCUUGCAGAAAAGGAAUCUAUAACAAUAGGGCCUCCGGCCAGGUGUGUUAGGUGACAUCACCUUACCGGGUCAUGUAAAGAUGUUUAUAACUCCUGGAAGUGUGUUCCAACCAUCAUAUCUGACCGAGAUUCAGAUCUGAUUGGUGUCAGGAUACCUCAGACUCAGGAUGUCUGAGAAGAAAAGGUGCAACACAAAUUGACGGGAGGACAUUGUAAGAUUCUCGGGAAUGAACUAUGGAAGCGAGUUCCGAAACAAGAGUUCAUCAGUAAACCAAGGAGAGGGGAGGGAGAUGGCUCGUGGACUCAACGCUAAUUAAUUGAGAUUUCCAAAAAAUGGAUUUCCACAAUUAUAUGAACAAAGAGAUAACAUUUGCCAGAUCAAAUGAUAUAAUGAUGUAUGCUCGAGGAAAGCAUACACAUUUAAACAUUGGUUGAAAGGUGCACCCGAAUAUGGACUGGGUUGCACGACCAACGUCGGAAUGGUGAUUCAAUAAUCAAUAGUCUAAGAAUGAACGGCCGACCAUUAACUUCAAAGCAAGAGGGUUGCUAGAAGGGCAGAAUCCAAACAGCACCACUCACUUGUUGGUACCCCGGUUGGAAUCAACACGAGGACCCAAGAAAGAAUGGUGAUGGUGAGAAGUAUCACAAUACCAAGAAUUCCUUAAGUGGUGGAGCAGUCCUCACAAUAUCCUUGAUAUUAAAAGAUGGUAAUACUCCAAGGUAAAGAAUAACAAAUGUUGGAUAGCAGGGAUCUCAACGUAUAACACAAAACGCAAACAAGUUUGUGUUGAACGGAAGGCAAUAAAGUGGUCGAUGAUAACACAAAUCAUUGAGGGCAAGGACGGUAUUCUCUUCAUGAAUCCGAUUGAUAUCCUGGAAGAGCUCAUAAGGUUGAUGAAGAUCAUGACACAUUUGUCGAGAGGUUUCAUGAAGAUGUAAUCAAUUAGCGACGAUGUCAAAUCAAAGGAAUGAUGAAGCGAAAGGUUAUUGGAACCAUGGGUAUGACACAAACUCGAAAUCAAGCUUGCUGUUCAAGGCAAAAUGAUAUGAUGAGGAAAAUCGACAUAAGCUUAGCUCAUCGUCGACAAUUUGUGCUUCAGGAAGAAGGACCAGGUAGCAUAGUUAAAUUUAGCACGAUAAUGAUAUAGCCGAUCAGGCUUGGGAUGAAGUGAUCGGGUAGAAACUUGUAAGCAAGGAAGAUUGCUAAGAAUGGUUGAAUCGUAGAAAGGACACUAUUCAGUUAUAGAUGUAUUUGAGUGACUAACCACUCAGAACCUAGGAAACAUUGGAAUCGGUGAGAAUGUAGUACUUGAUGAAGAACUCAUAAGAAGUUAUGGUGUUCCGUGAUAAGCUCGAGAUACCAGGGGGUAAUACUCGACGACGGAUCAAAGUAGAAGUUGGACUGGGGAAUUGCUAUGUAGAAGACAAGUGCUUAAACUUGCACAGGAAAUGGUAUUUAAAGGAGAACAUGGUCGGAACCAUGAUUGAAAAAGGCUAGAUCCCACAUAUAAGGUGAACUUAUACCAAGGGAAUAAUUAAUUUUAAAAGAAGCUUCGAUGAGAAGAUCUACAUCGUGUCCAUGGGUAUGAACACAAAGUUCAAGGUCGACUCCCACUUCUCCACUGCAUAACCUUUCAUUUACUUCUCGCGUUUGAUGAAGUUGUAGUGUUGAAAUUUUAUCUGGCAAAAAUACCAGCAGAGUAUGACUCGUGAAACUUUCGAGUUCACACCUAUUAAGGAAGGUAUAGGUUCAACCCAUCGGGGCAUCGUGGAAACGUAUACCACAAGCUUCAAGAAUAAAUAUCACCAGCUCGAAAGCAAAGCAAGGUUGGCAAAAUUCAACGAAUAGGAUUUACUAAUGGCAUUAUGUAUCAGGGAAGAAUUCACAAGGCGAUUAAAUAUGAAGGACAUUGCCGAAUAAUAAUCCAACAAAGGAUCUGACGGUCGAUAGCGAAGCUGAUGUGAGCAUCAAUACGCAACCAGUUGAAGAAAGAAUGCGAAGGCAUUGGAUUACAGAAGCAACUGGCUAAUUCAAGCUCACAUGUAAAAGAAUUAUGAUUUCCAAAUCAAAGGAUCAGAAGCAAAGUUCUGAUUAGGGAUGGAUAAGUUGAAUAGCCUUAGGGGUACAACCGACGGCAAUUGGAUUGGUUAAGAACCGGCUCAUGUUUAAAAUGACGUCUGAGCCAGAAAGAUAAUUUAAAAGGAUCAACCGAUGAUUGCGUGCAUUCGCACUCAUGUUGAAUCAAUAGGAUCAAAAUGACGGUGUCAAAGGAGACUAAUGAAUGUUGCCACACAUAUGGGAAGCAUCCAUAAUGCAAGCAGACAACUAUUUGCAGAGCAAUAGUUGACAAUGGAUUAUCAAAAGACUGGAUAGUAUUUCAAAGUAUCUUGUGGAUCACAUGAUCAACUAGGAAUGAACAAAUCCUCGAUGAGUGUGAGGAAUUAUCCAUAGAUGUAUUAAAGCGAAGAUGGAGCUGCAAGGCAGCAUGCAUAAUGAAUUCUCGGGAUAUUGGAAUGUUUCAGGGAAUCUUGUAAGAACAAUAGGUGUAUGUAUCUAUCCAUAGGGAUAUUUUGGUGGUAGUGAAUUGCCAAAGCAAUAGGCACAAAGUCUCGAGAGAAUAUCAGAGAGUAUCUUCGAAAUCUUCUGGUGCAGGCGGUGUUCAUCUGCAAUAAGGGGCUCUCCGGGAGAAAGUAGUUACGAGAACCUAGAGUCAGAUUUAGUAAAAUCAUUUAAACCAAAUAGAUGAGAGAUUAGAGUCCUAGAGUAUAGGUCGAGGAAUAAAAGAUCCUAAUACCGCCCAAUGGCGACGUGGGCCCGUAAGGCACACAACCAAGUUAGUAAAAGUUUUGAAGUGACUAGACUCGACUUUGGCCAAGGAGUGUGGAAGGGGGAUUCCUACAGGCAGUCGGCUCUGAUACCAACUUGUGAUGCCCCCGAUUCAAUCGUACACUAAUCAUGCACACAAACAUGUACGAUCAAGAUCAGGGAAUCACGGGAAGAUAUCACAACACAACUCUAAAAGCAUAAAUAAGUCAUACAAGCAUCAUAAUACAAGCCAGGGGCCUCGAGGGCUCGAAUACAAGUGCUCGAUCAUAGACGAGUCAGCGGAAGCAACAAUAUCUGAGUACAGACAUAAGUUAAACAAGUUUGCCUUAAGAAGGCUAGCACAAACUAGGAUACAGAUCGAAAGAGGCGCAUGCCUCCUGCCUGGGAUCCUCCUAAACUACUCCUGGUCGUCGUCAGCGGGCUACACGUAGUAGUAGGCUCCUCCGGCGUAGUAGGAGUCGUCGUUGAUGGUGGCGUCUGGCUCCUGGGCUCCAACAUCUGGUUGCGACAACCAGGUAGAAGGGAAGGGGGAAAGGGGGAGAAAAGCAACCGUGAGUACUCAUCCAAAGUACUCGCAAGCAAGGAGCUACACUACAUAUGCAUGGGUAUAUGUGUAAAGGGCCAUAUCAGUGGACUGAACUGCAGAAUGCCAGAAUAAGAGGGGGAUAACUAAUCCUAUCGAAGAUUACGCUUCUGGCAGCCUCCGUCUUGCAACAUGUAGAAGAGAGUAGACUGAAGUCCUCCAAGUAGCAUCGCAUAGCAUAAUCCUACCCAGCGAUCCUCUCCUCGUCGCCCUGUUAGAGAGCGAUCACCGGGUUGUAUCUGGCACUUGGAAGGGUGUGUUUUAUUAAGUAUCCGGUUCUAGUUGUCAUAAGGUCAAGGUACAACUCCAAGUCGUCCUGUUACCGAAGAUCAUGGCUAUUCGAAUAGAUUAACUUCCCUGCAGGGGUGCACCACAUAACCCAACACGCUCGAUCCCGUUUGGCCGGACACAAUUUCCUGGGUCAUGCCCGGCCUCGGAAGAUCAACACGUCGCAGCCCCACCUAGGCACAACAGAGAGGUCAGCACGCCGGUCUAAAUCCUACGUGCGCAGGGGUCUGGGCCCAUCGCCCAUUGCACACCUGCACGUUGCGUAUGCGGCCGGAAGCAGAACUAGCCCCCUUAAUACAAGAGCAGGCUUACGUUCCAAUCCAGCGUGCGCCACUCAGUCGCUGACGUCACGAAGUGCUUCGGCUGAUACCACGACGUCGAGUGCCCAUAACUGUUCCCGCGUAGUUGGUUGGUGCGUAUAGGCCAGUAGCCAGACUUAGAUCAAAUACCAAGAUCUCGUUAAGCGUGUUAAGUAUCUGCGAACGCCGAACAGGGCCAGGCCCACCUGUCUCCUAGGUGGUCCCAACCUGCCCUAUCGCUCCGCCAAAAAGUAACAGUCGGGGGCCGUCGGGAACCCAGGCCCACCUCUACCGGGAUGGAGCCACCUGUCCUUUCAGCCCCCACAUCGGAAUCACUUGCGGGUACUCAACGAGCUGACCCGACUUUAGUCACCAUCUGUAUAGUAUGUAUGUAUGUAUUGUAUAUACCCGUGAUCACCUCCCGAGUGAUCACGACCCAAUAGUAUAGCAAGGCAGACUGACAAGAAUGUAGGGCCAAUGAUGAUAAACUAGCAUCCUAUACUAAGCAUUUAGGACUGCGGGUAAGGUAUCAAUGAUUGUAGCAACAAUGACAGGCUAUGCAACAGAAUAGGAGUAAUCAAAUAGUAACAUGCUACACUACUCUAAUGCAAGCAGUAUAGAGAAGAAUAGGCGAUAUCUGGUGAUGAAAGGGAGGGCUUGCCUGGUUGCUCUGGCAAGUAGGGGUCGUCAACUCCGUAGUCGAACUGGGGUCACCGGCAGUCUCGGGGUCUACCGAAAAGAAGUAACAAAGGGGGAACACAGUAAAUAACAGAGCAAACAAAGCAUCACAAAGCGUAACAAGGCAAUACACGGUGUUUGGUGUGCCCUAACGCGAUAGUAGGUGAUACCGGCAAAAGGGGGAAACAUCCGGGAAAGUAUUCCCGGUGUUUCGCGUUUUUGGACAGAUGAACCGGAGGUAGAAAGUUGCGUGUUUGCUAUGCUAGGGAUGCGUGGCGGAUGAACGGGCUGCGUAUCCGGAUUUGUCUCGUCGUUCUGAGCAACUUUCAUGUACAAAGUUUUUCCCUCCGAGCUACUUUUUAUUUUAUAUUAAUUUUAAAAGAUUUAAUCAUUUUUAGAAUUCAUUUAAUUAUUUUAAAUCAACAUUAUCUAGAAUAGUGCAUGCUGACAUCAGCAUGACGUCAGCAAUCAACAGGUCAGUUGACUUAGUCAAACCGACGUGUGGGGUCCGCAUGUCAUAGGCUGGUUAACUAAGUAACAGAUUAUUUAGAUUAGUUAGCUAAUUAGAUUAUCUAACACUAGUUAAUUAAGUUAAUUAAUUAAUCCUUUUAAUCCUUUUUUUAUUUUUGUUUUGGGGCUAGGCCCGUUCGGUCAGUGGCCUAGGGCCAUUGUGGGCGUGUGGGCGCCAACAGUGCGGUUACGGGCGCACUCGUGCGGGGCCGAGCCCGACCGGUAAGGCGAGGCGAGGCCACCAGGGAGUGGCGGCGUUUGGCCGGCGUGGGCGACAGCCAGCGGGAGCGAUGACCAGCGGGGGUGGACCCGACGGCGGCGAGGUGGGGGCUGCAGGAGCGGGGCGGCACCAAGCGCGGUCAGCGGCAGAGAGGCGGAGGGAGUCGGGACACGAACGACGUCAAGCGGCUCAGGUGCGCCGCGGCCGGAGCGGGCGCGUGGAUGCGGACCGCGGCGAGCGGCCAGCGUGGGGAGGCGGAGCACGACAUGGUGCGUCGAGAAGCAGCCGGCAGUAGCAGUGAGCAGCGGCAGCCUUCAAGCAGACGAGGCGGGCGCGGGCGACUCAUGGGCGUGUGCGGCUGCGGGGAGCCACGGCCAGGGAGGCUGCACGGGGGUGUAGGGGAGCGCCCAAGCGACGGCGGCCAUGGGCGUGGGCAGAGGGCGACGACGGCUUCGGUCACGGCGACGACGACAACUACUGAGCGGAACGAGGGUGCUCGAGUUCGAUCCGAGCUCGGGAAUAAUCGGGGAAGUGGCGUAGCUCACAUUGAGCCUGUAGAUGUGCUUAGUGGGCUCGGGGAAGGCUCGGAGGUGCCGGAAUCGACGGCGAAGCUCGACAGAGACGAGGAGGAAGAAGGCGGUGCGGGGCUCGAUGCGAUGGCUCCCGGCGGGGAGGUGGCGUCCGCGAGGUGGUGGCGGGACGAGGCAACGACGUCGGGGGCUGGCGCGGCGGCGACGGCGGGGUCGGGCCCCCGAGUGCCCCGAUCCAGACUCAGGAGGGGGAAGGAGAGAGACGUGGGGUCGUGGGGGAGAAGUGGGUGCGGUUAGGGUUUGGUGGUGGGCAGGGAAGGCCAUAUAGGCCUGCUUAGCUGGGCCGGCUAGCACAGCGGUCUGCUGGGCCGUGGCCCAGUUGGGCCAAGGGGGGGAUUGCUUCUCUUACUACUUUUCUUUGUUUUGUUUUCUCUUAGUUUGUUUUUCUAUUUUCAUUUUAGUUUCUGAUAUUUUUAGUUUCUUUAAAAUACUAAGUUAGCACCUAAACUAGUAUCAUCAAAAUAGGACAGUGCCAAACCUAGUUUGGACCCAAAAUAAAUUAGUUUAAUAUUUCUAUAUUUUCAAAAGCAAUUAAAUUAUUAUGUUAGCCAUUGGUUUUAAUUAGUUUUAGGGCAUUUAAACACUUUGAAAAAGGUUGGUUCCACCACCAAAACUAGUUAGGGAUUAUUCGCCACAUGAUGAACAUUUUAGUUUUAAUAUUUGAAAACUUUUAUUGUUUGCUUGAUUCUGAAUUUGAAUUAGAAUCGGUUUUAAACUAACGCGAGUUUAUCAACAGUGAUCGUGGUGACGUGGCAUCAUUAGUAGAGAGUUACUGUAGCUUAAUUAUCCGGGCGUCACAGCUAGGGAAUACAUAUGGAAUGGAGGUAGCGAGCCUGUCAAACCAUAGCGUACUUCGCACAUAUGCAUGACUGAUUUGGGAUGAUUCCCGAGGAACAAAAACAAUCUUUCUCGAACUCACGGCGGCAUCUUGCACCAAAUGCACAUGAAUUCGAGGAAGUCACUCCUGCCAUCCAAGCAUAAGCUUCAUGAACGGAACACGAAGGCAUUGCUUAUAAAAUUUUCAACACUAGGUUGAUGUUCAACAUGAAUCAUGGGGGAGACGAAAUGCUGCUGAUGGGGUUCACCAACAACUCAUCGGAAUUUCCAUAUCACUGGACUUCCACCAUCAUGUGAACACGGUGAUAGCAUUGGUCAGACCAAAAGAUGUAAUGGUGUAUGCUCGAGGGAUCAACCACGAGUAAGGCAACAUUACGAACAUCGUUGGUUCUGAUUUGACUUGACGAUGGCCCAUACUCAAGUCAAAGUUUUGACAAGGCAAUAGAUCCAACAACUGAUCACGAGGACCAAUUGAUGGAGAUAUCAUCUUUCUUCAACAACCACACACAAGGAUAUCCCUUGGAGAUGAACUAAGUCAGGUGAGCUUUUAUCUUCCAACUCUCCAAGUUGUUGUUUAGCUUAACCAACUAGCUCAGGGGUAUCCAACACAGAUUCUUGGGGAAAGGGUGGUUCACAAGAAACCAACUCGAUCACGAGCUCAACAUAUCAGUCAGGGAACAACCUGGUAAUACUUCCGAGAAGAUAUCCGGAAAAUCACGAACCACCGAUAUAUUACUAAGCUCGAGAACAAUCUUGCUUUUCAAGCAAGACGAUAUGAUCAAAUAAGCAAGGGACUGAAUAAUCCUAACUCAUUGAUCGAAGAGUACACCAGAAAUAAGGACUAGGUAGCACGAUCAAUAUUAGGAUGAUGAUUCAAUAACCAACAUGCUAAGAAUGAGAAUAUUGUCCAUUUACUACCAAGCAACUAGUUGCUAGGCGUAUUGAUUUCACACAUCACUAUUCACUUGUCGGCAUUCCGGUUGUGACAACACGGGACCGAGGAAUGAAUAAUGAUGGCGAGAAGUAUCACUGCAUCAAGAAUUCAUAAAAGUUGGUACAAUUAUCAUGACAUUCCUGACAUCAAGAGGGCAAUACUUCAGGGUAGAACAGAAUAAAAGCUGGAUUGGCAUUAUGAUCUGCGGGGUAUUACUGAUUUGACCCAAUCCUAGAAAUGGAUAAGGUACUGGAGUUUGUUUCUCCUAGUCAUUCUGGAAUAGAAUGGCUUGACGGACCACAAGAGUAAUAGGCAUCGAUGGACGAAUGCACGCAUUCUCUUGACUAUCAAUUGAUAGAUGAAGGUCAGAAGACAUCUAAGGAGGAACAACUCAUGGAACAUAUAACUUUCUGAGUUGUGGAUGCAUAGAUUAAUAUGUCGAACGGGUUCAACACAUUUCUUCCGGAUAACCCAUGCAGAGAAGGUAGAACUGGAAGAAUCACAAUUAUGAAUGGAGAACUCCUCAAGAGUACUCUGAUUGUGAUCUUUUGGUUCAAAUAACUUCUGCCUUAAUGGUUCAUGGUAUUUGGAAGAAGGAAAUACCACGGACCUCGAGGACUAAUGCAAAGGUUACUAAUAACCUAAAGGAACGAGCAAACACUAUCAACAUGAAGUAAGUAGGGUGAAUCUCGGGUUCAAGAACCCAGGAAUAGAAUACCUACUCCUAAGUAGCAUCACGAGAUGCUUUCGAGAAUGAUGGCUAGAAUCUUCACACUGGGAACACUAAACAUUGCUAGAUUACUAGGUGACUCCCUAAAACACCUAGGGUCAUAAUAAUAGCUCCAACAUAUAUGUCAAGGCAAUAAAUUACCUCAACGCACCAGUUAGUGUGCUUAUUCUGACCAUAAAGGACAUCGGGAACGGAAAGAAAGGAUUUGCAAAUGCAUCAGACUAUUUAAAAACCUGGGAUGACUCGGACAACAUAACGACUGUAAAUGCUUAAAAAGAUUUGAGAUAUCCUGCAGAAAUGGUGGCAUAACCACUCAACAUCACAAAAGCAAGGUUCUGAGACCAGCUAUGAACAUACAGAGGUAGUAAAAGCUGAACUAAGAUUUGAAACUAACAAUUCUAUAAGUCAAUGGAUUAGUAACACGUCAUCCUGAUAGAUAGAUGAGAAGGCCUAGUUCUUAAUCCCCGUAGAAGAGAAGAGGAUGACUCAUAUCAGAAGGCCAUGAGGUAUAAGGAGUAAAAAGAUCCUUACGUUCCAUCCCACAAUCAAUUCCCUUACAUAACUAAAGAAUUUCUAGACCAAUAGUAACUCAUGAGACAUAUCAUCUAAACCAAUAGUAACAACAUCCUUUUUGCAAUCUAUCCUAGCAUUAACAGUGUUUAAGAAUGGUCUACCAAAUAUAAUGGGACAAAAGCUAUCUUGUGGGGAACCAAGAACAAGAAAAUCAGCAGGAUAUUUAGUUUUCCCACACAAGACUUCAACAUCUCUAACAAUUCCCAUUGGUGAAAUAGUAUCUCUAUUCGCAAGUUUAAUUGUGACAUCAAUAUCUUCUAUCUUAGUAGGUGCAAUAUCAUGCAUAAUUUCUUUGUAUAAGUCGUAAGGUAUUGCACUAGCACUAGCACCCAUAUCACAUAAGCCAUGAUAACAAUGAUCUCCUAUUUUAACAGAAAUAAGAGGCAUGCCUACCACAGGUCUGUUUUUAUCUUUUGCAGAGGGUUUAGCAAUUCUAGCAGUCUCAUCAAGGAAAUGAAUAACAUGCCCAUGAAUAUUAUCAAACAAGAGAUCUUUAACAAUAGCAAUAUCAGGUUCAACUUUAAUUUGCUCAGGAGGUGUAUAAGUUUUAAUAUUGCUUUUACGAACCAUAGUUGAAGCUUUAGCAUGAUCCUUUAUCCUAACAGGAAACAGUGGUUUCUCAACAUAAGCGGUAGGAACAAUAGGAUCAUUAUAAGUGACAGUCUUUUAUUCAACUUUAAUUGGUGCAGCUACUUUUACUUCUAUGGGAGGAUGAUAUUUAAACCACUUCUCCCUAGGGAGAUCAACAUGAGUAGCAAAAGAUUCACACAAAGAAGCUACAAUUUCUGAGUCAAGUCCAUAUUUAGUGCUAAAUUUAUGGAAAACAUCGGUAUCCAUAAAAGAUUUGACACAAUCAAACUUAGGUGUCAUACCUGACUCCUUACCUUCGUCGAGGUCCCAAUCUUCAGAGUUGCGUUUAAUUCUUUCCAAUAUAUCCCAUUUGAAUUCAAUAGUCUUCAUCAUAAAAGAACCAGUGCGAGAAGUACCGAGCAUGGUGCGAUUGCUAUCAGAAAGCCGAGCAUAAAAUUUUUGAAUAAUCAUUUCUCUUGAGAGCUCAUGAUUGGGGCAUAUAUAUAACAUUGAUUUAAGCCUCCCCCAAGCUUGAGCGAUGCUUUCUCCUUCGCGAGGCCAAAAAUUAUAUAUAUAAUUGCGAUCACGAUGAACAAGAUGCAUAGGAUAAAACUUCUGAUGAAAUUCCAAUUUCAAUCGUUUGUAGUUCCAUGACCCUGUAUCAUCACAUAGCCUAUACCAUGUCAAUGCAUCUUCCUUAAAAGAUAAAGGGAGGACCUUCAUCUUAACAACAUCUCCGGGUACACCUGCCAGCUUAAAUAAUCCACAAACUUCAUCCACAUAUAUUAGGAGCUCAUCAGGAUGUAAUGUUCCAUCUCCUGCAAAAGGAUUAGCUAGCAGAUUUUCUAUCAUACCCGAAGGAAUUUCAAAGCAGACAUUUUCAUUUUCAGUAGGUUCAGUAGGUUGAGGAGCAACUCUUUGCUCAAAUGGUCAGGGUGAAGAUACCCCGAACAGGCCCCUUAGAGGAUUACUCUCCAUAGUAACAAGUGACAGUAAAUUUCAGCACACUAUAUAAAUUAUUCCUUACCAAAUUCCACCUACCAAAGGCGCUUCACUCCCCGGCAACAGCGCUAGAAAAGAGUCUUGAUGACCCACAAGUAUAGGGGAUCUAUCGUAGUCCUUUCGAUAAGUAACAGUGUCGAACCCAACGAGGAGCAGAAGGAAAUGAUAAGCGGUUUCCAGCAAGGUAUUCUCUGCAAGUACUGAAAUAAGUGGUAACAGAUCGUUUUGUGAUAGGAUAAUUUGUAAUGAGAAACAAGUAACAAAAGUAAAUAAAGUGCAACAAGGUGGCCCAAUCCUUUUUGUAGCAAAGGACAAGCCUGGACAAACUCUUAUAUAGAGAAAAGCGCUCCCGAGGAAACAUGGGAAUAUCGUCAAGCUAGUUUUCAUCACGUUCAUAUGAUUCGCGUUCAGUACUUUGAUAAUUUGGUAUGUGGGUGGACCGGUUCUUGGGUACUGUCCUUACUUGGACAAGCGUCCCACUUAUGAUUAACCUCUAUUGCAAGCAUCCUCAACUACAACAAAAGUAUUGAGGUAAACCUAACCAUAGCAUGAAACAUAUGGGUCCAAAUCAGCCCCUUACGAAGCAACGCAUAAACUAAGGUUUAAGCUUCUGUCACUCUAGCAACCCAUCAUCUACUUAUUACUUCCCAAUGCCUUCCUCUAGGCCCAAAUAAUGGUGAAGUGUUAUGUAGUCGACGUUCACAUAACACCACUACAGAAGAGACAACAUACAUCUCAUCAAAAUAUCGAACGAAUACAAAAUUAACAUUACUACUAAUAGCAAGACUUCUCCCAUGUCCUCGGGAAAAAAAGUAACUACUCACAAAGCAUAUUCAUGUUCACAAUCAGAGGGGUAUUAAUAUGCAUAUAGGAUCUGAACACAUGAUCUUCCACCAAGUAUACCAACUAGCAUCAACUACAAGGAGUAAUUAACACUACUAGCAACCUACAGGUACCAAUCCCAGCCUUAGAGACAAGAAUUGGAUACAAGAGAUGAACUAGGGUUUUGAGAGGAGAUGGUGCUACUGAAGAUGUUGGUGGAGAUUGCCCUCUCCUGAUGAGAGGAGCGUUGGUGAUGACGAUGGCGAUGAUUUCCCCCUCCCAGAGGGAAGUUUCCCCGGCAGAAUAGCUCUGCCGGAGCCCUAGAUUGGAUCCGCCAAGGUUCCGCCUCGUGGCGGCGGAGUUUCGUCUGAGGAGAUGGCUUCUGGCUUUUUUUCUCAUCGAAAGACUCCAUAUAGCAGAAGAUGGCCAUCGGAGGGCCACCAGGGGGCCCACGAGGUAGGGGGCGCACCCAGGGGGGUAGGGCGCGCCCCCACCCUCGUGGGUAGGGUGUGGCCCCCCUGGUGAACUUCUUGCACUCAGUAUUUUUUAUAUAUUCUGAAAACGUCUUCCGUGAAGUUUCAGGACUUUUGAAGCUGUGCAGAAUAGGUCUCUAAUAUUUGCUCCUUUUCCAGCCCAGAAUCCCAGCUGCCGGCAUUCUCCCUCUUUAUGUAAACCUUGUAAAAUAAGAGAGAAUAGGCAUAAGUAUUGUGACAUAAUGUGUAAUAACAGCCCAUAAUGCAAUAAAUAUUGUUAUAAAAGCAUGAUGCAAAAUGGACAUUUCAGUUCGCUAGCAGACAACAAAGGAGAGGCGGACGACAAAGCUUCAAAAUUAACUUAACGGGGCCCUCUCUCUCUAUCUCAUCUCCUCUUUAUUUACUCCCUCUUCCACCCCCGAUAUCGCCUCCACACCCUCCCCGUGCCAUCGCCGCUGCACCAUCCCCGUGUCGUCGCCGUUGCACGCUCCCGCAUCAUCGCCGCCCCCUCCCUGCGUCCCCACCCCCCCUCCCGAGNNNNNNNNNNNNNNNNNNNNNNNNNNNNNNNNNNNNNNNNNNNNNNNNNNNNNNNNNNNNNNNNNNNNNNNNNNNNNNNNNNNNNNNNNNNNNNNNNNNNNNNNNNNNNNNNNNNNNNNNNNNNNNNNNNNNNNNNNNNNNNNNNNNNNNNNNNNNNNNNNNNNNNNNNNNNNNNNNNNNNNNNNNNNNNNNNNNNNNNNNNNNNNNNNNNNNNNNNNNNNNNNNNNNNNNNNNNNNNNNNNNNNNNNNNNNNNNNNNNNNNNNNNNNNNNNNNNNNNNNNNNNNNNNNNNNNNNNNNNNNNNNNNNNNNNNNNNNNNNNNNNNNNNNNNNNNNNNNNNNNNNNNNNNNNNNNNNNNNNNNNNNNNNNNNNNNNNNNNNNNNNNNNNNNNNNNNNNNNNNNNNNNNNNNNNNNNNNNNNNNNNNNNNNNNNNNNNNNNNNNNNNNNNNNNNNNNNNNNNNNNNNNNNNNNNNNNNNNNNNNNNNNNNNNNNNNNNNNNNNNNNNNNNNNNNNNNNNNNNNNNNNNNNNNNNNNNNNNNNNNNNNNNNNNNNNNNNNNNNNNNNNNNNNNNNNNNNNNNNNNNNNNNNNNNNNNNNNNNNNNNNNNNNNNNNNNNNNNNNNNNNNNNNNNNNNNNNNNNNNNNNNNNNNNNNNNNNNNNNNNNNNNNNNNNNNNNNNNNNNNNNNNNNNNNNNNNNNNNNNNNNNNNNNNNNNNNNNNNNNNNNNNNNNNNNNNNNNNNNNNNNNUGAUACCAAAGCUGUCAGGACCCCGACUCAAUGCCACAUCAAUCUAGCAUGUAACACCUCAUAUCACUUUGCGGCCUCACGCAUGGUAUUCCCACGGGUGUCGCCUUACCUUUGCCCGGGACCGUUUGCACCUUUUGGCACACGUAUAUGAUAGUGUCGCUAGCAUCCAUAUGAUAAGGAGCCCGGGCUGAAAUGGCUAGUCGUAAACCCAAAGUGGCACAGACUUACAGGGACAGGCAUCCAUGACCCAGCAUCGAACAUGUCGGUCAUCAGCGAGUGAAUCUAGGCUGUAGCACUGGGCUAGCAGGACUCCGGUGAACCGGGCUGUAGCGGGCUAACAGGACUUCGGUAUUCAUCGCGUGACAUUUCCCUGACGGGACAAACACAUGAACGAAGAAGGACACAUGCCGGCCAGCCUAAGUGUUCCAGAGCAGUAGCAAGCUACCAUGGCUCAGUGGAAGCACUAGGAGACAUUUCCCGGUAAGAAAGGCUAGUAAGGAUAAACAACUAGAUAGUCAGAUCCCACACAUACCAAGCAUUUCAAACAUACACACGAUAUGCUCGAUAUGUGUAAAUACAACAUGGCAUCACAACAUAACUCUACGACUGAAGUAUUUAUUCAAUAGGCUCCGAGGAGCGCGAUAUUACAAGCAUGGGUCUCAUGACCCAAUAUUCAGAGCAUAUAGAUCAAGCACAUGCGGAAGCUUAUCAUGUCUGAGUACAGACAUCUACAAAUGAAAAAGGCUGAAAAGCCUGACUAUCUACCAGAUCCUGCCGAGGGCACAAGAUCGUAGCUGAGGUAACAAGCCAAACGUCGAAGUCCACGCGGAACUACUAACGAGACUGACGUCUCUCUGCAAAAACAUAAAAUAGGUAAAUGUGAGUACAAAUGUACCCAGCAAGACUUACAUCAGAUCUAGGUACAUAUGCAUCAUUAUCAACAAAGGGGAUGGUGGGGUUUAACUGCAGCAAGCCAGCUUUGACUCGGUGGCUAUCCUGAACUACGACUGCAAGUAACUCUUUUGAGGUGGCGCACACGAGUCCACAUAUUCACCAUAUCAAUACACCACCAUGGAUCCGCUCCCGUCUCCCUACGAGAAUGCCAUCCAUAGCACUCACGCUUAUCUUGCGUAUUUUAGAGUAUCCACUUUCACUUGUCUAUGAACUGUUAUAGGCAACCCAGAAGUCCUUUUCUGCGGACACGGCUAUUCGAAUAGAUGAUGUUAACCCUGCAGGGGUGUACUUCUUCAUACAUGUUUCCACCACUUAGUGUCUGCACACGACAUGUGCUCGGCAGACUUCAAGCGAAAGCCGACGUGGGUGUAGACCACGACCUACCUAAACACUCCAGUCUCUAGUCCAGGUUUAUCGCCUAUUCAGGUUCCAUCCGCAGGGAGUCCGGCCGAGGUUUCCACAUACGGCCCCGAACGAUGUGAACAGGGUUCCGAGACACCUAACGGGUGCCCGGUGUACCCGGCCACAUACCUACCGCAUCACAACCCACCCCACGGUCAGCGCUGUCCACGGCCUCCAGUAGGCUACAAACACCAGAAACUACUUGCAACUCCUGGACAGAGGACUAGGGUGAAUAAGAAGUCGAGCGGGGUCAUAUUUCAGGGCCCAAUGUAUGGUAGUAGCUGAAUCAUGGAUCACAAACACAUAACUCAGUUCCUAAGGACGGCUUCAAUGAGACAACCCACCAUGUACUCUACAUGGCCUCUCACCGAUACCUUUACCAAAUCGUGUUCACACACUUAGCUCACACACAGUAGGACAUGUUCACACACCUCUGAUUCAUCCCCGAUGAAUCAGACCUGACUCAGCUCUAAGCAAUAGCAGGCAUGACAAACAAGCAUGAAUGAGUAGGCACAUUAGGGCUCAAGCAACUCCUACUCAUGCUAGUGGGUUUCAUCUAUUUACUGUGGCAAUGAUAGGUCAUGCAGAGGAUAAAGGGGUUCAAGUACCACAACAAGUAACAGAUGAAUCGUUGUUGUCCUAAUGCAGUAAAAGAGAGCAGGAGCGAGAGAGUGGGAUUGUAUCGAAAUGAACAAGGGGUUUUGCUUGCCUGGCACUUCUGAAGAUAAUAUAGUUCUUCAUCGGUGUCAUCGAACUCGUCGUCGGAACCACGUCUAUCGAGAGGGGACAAACACUGGCAACUGAGGAAGAACACAAUCAAUGCAAUGCCACAAUAUGAUGCAUGAUCAUGACAUGGCAAUAUGCUGUGAUUUGAGCUAAUGCACCUAGCUAUGAUUUAAAUGAAGUUGGUUUGAAUACAUGAUUCAAAUUCCAACUCCAUAUAUGAUUAUUUAAAUUUCCUUUAUUUGUUUUGUCCAAAACAGAGGACAAACAUUGUUCAAACAUGCAUGAAAAUGGUACAGAUGUAUUCCUUGAAUUUUUCUGAUAAUUUUUCAUAUAUAAUUUGUUUGAUUUGGAGUCACGGUUGAAUUUCUAUGAAUUUUAGAAGUUUAGAUCAUUUUCUGAAAUUUAUAAAUCGUUUCUGAUUUAUUUUAAUACCAGAAAAUGUUUACUGCAUCAGCAUUAGGUCAUGCUGAUCUCAGCAGGUCAACAGCGCCGGGUCUAGGUCAAACCUGACGUGUGGGGUCCACACGUUAGUGACUAACUAAUCUAAUCUAAAUUAAUUAGUGUUAAACUACUACUAACUAAAAAUGUCAGUGGAGUAAUUAAACUUAAUUAAAAACUAAUCUAGGAUUAGCUGGGGCCUGGGCCCACUCGUCAGUGACUCAGGGGAAGUCAAACUGGGGUCAAACCGGGUCAAACUCGCCGGAGUUGACCCGGGGCUCGUCGCCGGCAGGGCCAGGGACGGCGGAGAGGUGCGGGUUUCCUCCUCCGGCGACCAAAUCGACGGCGGAGGGCGGCUACGUGGAGCUGGAGCUCGCGCGCAUCGGGUGGUAGCGGUGGGAGAUGCUGGGGUGCCCGGAAACAUUGCCGGCGACGACCUUGGCGGUCGCCGGAGUUCGGGCGAGGUCGAAGUCGUCGCUAUGAGGCACGGCGAGGCGCGUGGGGAGGUGCUACGGGUUUCUGCGAGUACGGUGAAGACGAUGGCGUGCUCGGAAUCAAGCCAACGUGGCUGUGGCCACGACGGCGACGUGCGGUGGCGGCGGCGGGUGCGGCCGAGCUCGGUGUGGUCGUUGUGGUGCACAAGAAGGCAAACGGAGAGGGGGAGAAGGGGCAGGAGCUCACAGCGGAUCCGUAGGGAUGGUUAGCAGGCUCGGGGAUGCUCGGGAGACGGCGAAUUGACGACGACGAUCUUCCGUGGCCGACGAAGGAAACGGCGGCGGUGGCGGUGUUGCGGCGCGUCCGGGGCCUCGUGGCUCGCCGAGGGGUCGAGGACGUCGAGACAGAGCUUCUAGGCGCGUCGGUGAGGCGUGCGGUGGCCGGUGGCCGUGGCAGCAGCGAGCGGCGGCGAUGAGCGCGCUCGGGCGCAAUAGGGUGAGAGAGCAGAGAGGGGAGAGGCACGGGAGAGAGUGAGAGGGGGUCGAGGGUGAUGCGUGGCGUCACCAGGGACGGCCAGGGCGUCGAGGAGGGGGGGGGGCAGCAAGCAGGAGGUGGCCGGGGCGCGUGGGCGCGCGCGUCGGCCACACACGCGUCCUCCUGUCAGAGGAGGAAGAUGACAUGGAAGGAGGCGGUGGUGGGCUGGGCCAGUUGGCUGGGCUGCCAGCUGGGCCGGCCAGGUGGGCUGCAUAGAAGGUAGGUCCAGGUAAGUCUCUCUCUCUCUUUUAUUUAUUGUUUUUGUUUUUUCUAUUAUUCUGUAGUCUUCAGGGCUUUAUUUAAAAUACUUAAACAGAUCCAAAAAUCAUGAAACUAAUCAUGGCUACUGUUUAGAAUAUAUCCAACAGUAAACAUUUUAGUUUAUGAUUAUUUGAGCAUUUAAAAUAUUUUAUAGUAUUUAAAUGCCCAAAUGAAAAUACCAUAUGAUUUAAUUCAGAGCCCAAAUAUGUCAUGGAAAAAUGUGCAACACCUCUGGUUAUUGUUUCCAGCAUUUCCAGAAAUGAUGAACACUUUUAAAAGCCAUUUGGAUUCACUGAAAUUAUUUUAGUUGAACCUAGUGAAUUCCUUUGAUGUUAGGGUUUAGGCAAUCCCUAUUUCAAGUUUCAAAUGAAUUUAAACAUGAUGCAACACAUGACUAGCUAGCUCAGUGCAUACCAGAACUAGGGAUGUGACAUACAUGAGCUGCUCGAGCAUACAAAACAGAAUUUCAUUUAAAGGUUUGGAGUUUGGCACAUACAAAUUUACUUGGAACGGUAGGUAAAUACUGCAUAUAGGAAGGUAUGGUGGACUCAUAUGGAAUAACUUUGAGGUUUAUGGAGUUUGGAUGCACAAGUAGUAUUCCCGCUUAGUACAGAUGAAGGCUAGAAAGAGACUGGGAAGCGACCAACUGAGAGAGCGACAACAGUCAUAAACAUGCAUUAAAAUUAAUCAACACCGAGUGCAAGCAUGAGUAGGAUAUAAUCCACCAUGAACAUAAAUAUCAUGAAGGCUAUGUUGAUUUUUUUUCAACUAUAUACGUGAACAUGUGCCAAGUCAAGCCACUCGAAUCAUUCAAAGGAGGAUACCACCCUAUCAUACCACAUCACAACUAUUUUAAUAGCAUGUUGGCACACAAGGUAAACCAUUAUAAGCUCCUAGCUAAUUAAGCAUGGCAUAAGCAACUACAAUCUCUAAUUGUCAUUGCAAACAUGUUUAUUCAUAAUAGGCUGAAUCAGGAACGAUGAACUAAUCAUAUUUACAAAAACAAGAGAGGUCGGGUUCAUACCAGCUUCUCUCAUCUCAAUCAGUCAAUCAUAUAUCGUCAUUAUUGCCUUUCACUUGCACGACCGAACGGUGUGUGGAUAAUAAUAAUAGUGCACAUGCAUUGGACUAAGCUAGAAUCCGCAAGCAUUAAAUUCAAGGGAGAAGACAAGGUAAUAUGGGCUCUUGGUUAAAUCAUCAAUCAUGCAUAGUGGAGCCGCUAAACAUUUUCAUUAUGGUCUUCUCCUCUUGACCCCCAAAGGAAAGAAAAG
rnacentral:lncRNA from 1 species